UAAUACGUAGGGUGCAAGCGUUAAUCGGAAUUACUGGGCGUAAAGCGUACGCAGGCGGCUUUGCAAGACAGGUGUGAAAUCCCCGGGCCUAACCUGGGAACUGCAUUUGUGACUGCAUGGCUAGAGUUUGUCAGAGGGGGGUGGAAUUCCACGUGUAGCAGUGAAAUGCGUAGAGAUGUGGAGGAACACCGAUGGCGAAGGCAGCCCCCUGGGCUAACACUGACGCUCAUGCACGAAAGCGUGGGGAGCAAACAGGAUUAGAUACCCUGGUAGUCCACGCCCUAAACUAUGUCAACUGGUUGUCGGGGAAGCAAUUCCUUGGUAACGAAGCUAACGCGUGAAGUUGACCGCCUGGGGAGUACGGCCGCAAGGUUA
rnacentral:rRNA from 1 species